rnacentral:rRNA from 1 species
UNCCCCCUGAUAAGUAAUUAAAGGGCUGCAGUAUAUUGACUGUACAAAGGUAGCAUAAUCAUUAGUCAUUUAAUUGGUGACUUGUAUGAAAGAUUGGAUGAAAUAUAAACUGUCUUAAUUUUAAAUUUAAAAUUUAAUUUUUUAGUUAAAAAGCUGAGAUAUUUUAAAAAGACGAGAAGACCCUAUAGAGUUUUAUUAGUAUUGAUUUAAUAUUUUGUAAAUUUUUUUAAUAGAUAUUAAUUUUAUAUUAAUUUUAUUGGGGUGAUAGAAAAAUUUAAUAAACUUUUUUUUUUUAUAACAUAAAUAAAUGGAAUUGUUAGUAUAAAUGAUCCAAUAAUAUUGAUUUGAAGAAAAAAUUACCUUAGGGAUAACAGCGUAAUUUUUUUUUUUAGUUCAUAUAAAAAGGAAAGUUUGCGACCUCGAUGUUGGAUUAAGAUAAAAUUUAAAUGUAGAAGUUUAGAGUUUUGA